CUGUGCUAGAUGGGGAGUUAGCGGUGCCCUGUAACCCGGAAUCCGCUAUACCGGGGUCGAAUUCCCACCCGAGGGCUUAGCGGUCGUCUUAUUCCGACGGUUAAGCAGCGUUGAGGGUUGGGUCCCGUACAACAGAAGCCUGUGAACCCCGUCAGGACCGGAAGGUAGCAGCGGUAAACAGAUCCUUUUGUGUGUUGCGGGAUCGCCCAACCGGAGCCGGCUGGCCGGAGGGUUUUUCGGCAGCGGUUCGGAGGUGGGUGCACGU
rnacentral:SRP_RNA from 1 species